GACGGACGCUGGCGGCGUGCCUAAUACAUGCAAGUCGAACGCUUCUUUCCCCCCGAGUGCUUGCACUCAAUUGGAAAGAGGAGUGGCGGACGGGUGAGUAACACGUGGGUAACCUACCCAUCAGAGGGGGAUAACACUUGGAAACAGGUGCUAAUACCGCAUAACAGUUUAUGCCGCAUGGCAUAAGAGUGAAAGGCGCUUUCGGGUGUCGCUGAUGGAUGGACCCGCGGUGCAUUAGCUAGUUGGUGAGGUAACGGCUCACCAAGGCCACGAUGCAUAGCCGUCCUGAGAGGGUGAUCGGCCACACUGGGACUGAGACACGGCCCAGACUCCUACGGGAGGCAGCAGUAGGGAAUCUUCGGCAAUGGACGAAAGUCUGACCGAGCAACGCCGCGUGAGUGAAGAAGGUGUUCGGAUCGUAAAACUCUGUUGUUAGAGAAGAACAAGGACGUUAGUAACUGAACGUCCCCUGACGGUAUCUAACCAGAAAGCCACGGCUAACUACGUG
rnacentral:rRNA from 1 species